rnacentral:rRNA from 1 species
GAUGAACGCUGGCGGCGUGCCUAACACAUGCAAGUCGAACGAAAGGACGAGACGCUUGCUGUGCUGAUGUUAGCGGAGGACGGGUGAGUCACACGUGGAUAACCUACCUAAAAGAGUGGGAUAACUACGGGAAACCGGAGAUAAUACCGGAUAAUAUUUUGAACCGCAUGGUUCAAAAGUGAAAGACGGUGUUGCUGUCACUAAUAGAUGGAUCUGCGCUGAAUUAGCUAGUAGGUAGGGUAACGGCCUACCAAGGCAACUAUGCAUAGACGACCUGUUAGGCGGGUCGGCGACCUGGGAACUGAAACGCCCUCCAGACUCCUACGGUAGGCAGCAGUAGGCAACGGUCCGCAAUGGGCGGAAGUCUUGCGGAGUGGCGGCGCGUGUGUGAUGGAGGUCUUCGGAUCGUAAAGCUGUGUUAUGAGUUGUAAACAGAUUUGUAAGUUGCUGUGCACUGCGUGACGGUACUUAAUCAGAAAGCCACGGCUAACUACGUG